rnacentral:lncRNA from 1 species
GAGUGCAUGUGCCAUAUGACCCUCUCCCUUGAGUCUUUGAAACCUAUUUCUUACUUUAUGACUUCGGACUUCCUUUUCUUUGGGAGUAUAAAAGUGGAUACCACCAUUCCACCCCUUACCCAUCAUCAGGAGAAGUUAGUUGGGAAGCAAAGGCGGAGUGAGGUGGAGGGAAGAGUCUAAAAACAGCUCUACACUUAGCUUUGUCCUUGCAUUGAUGACAAAUGAUGUUGGAUCCUGAAAGGGGCAAGCAAGAUGAGACCAUGUUGAAAAGGUCUUAAAGAAGCCAGGGAAGAGGUGAAACAUCUCUCUGUGUGCUGAGGACCAUACCAGGUCCUCUCACCCUGGAGGAUGGAUGAGGGUGGGAUGGGGCAGUUAAAAGUUGAGGGGUAUCUCCAGGAGAAAGAUGAGACACAUGACCAUUGGGUCUAAGGAGCCAGAGAGAGGCCAUUGUGUCUGAGCCUGGACAGCCAAGCUUCCUAGAGACAGAGGAUGGGGUGAGAUGACUUCUGGCUGACUCUGCCUCCUUGAGCUCUUUAGGAUCCCCUGCAGAAUCUUCCAAAAUGAUGCUCAUUGGAAACAGAGAGAGCACAUUCAAGUAAGUAUUUGUGCCACACUGUGAUUGUUCCAAUGACGUCAAGUCUGGGAUGGCAACAGCAGCGGUUCCAUUUCUUUUCUUCAGGACCUGGAUUCUUGCUCCAAGGUCUUCCACCUCCCUCCUCAUUUUCUUCCAC